CAGCCGCCGCGGUAAUACGGAGGGUGCAAGCGUUAAUCGGAAUUACUGGGCGUAAAGCGUACGUAGGCGGCUUUGUAAGUUAGAGGUGAAAGCCUGGUGCUCAACACCAGAACUGCCUUUAAGACUGCAUCGCUUGAACGUCGGAGAGGUGAGUGGAAUUCCGAGCGUAGAGGUGAAAUUCGUAGAUAUUCGGAAGAACACCAGUGGCGAAGGCGGCUCACUGGACGCGUAUUGACGCUGAGGUACGAAAGCGUGGGGAGCAAACAGGAUUAGAUACCCCCGUAGUCCCUGUCUCUUAUAC
rnacentral:rRNA from 1 species